GACGAAGGAUGCAAGCGUUAUCCGGAUUCAUUGGGUUUAAAGGGGGCGUAGGCGGCCUUGUAAGUCAGUGGUGAAAUCUCGCAGCUUAACUGCGAAACUGCCAUUGAUACUGCAGGGCUUGAGUACAGAUGCUGUGGGCGGAAUAUGACAUGUAGUGGUGAAAUACAUAGAGAUGUCAUAGAACACCGAUUGCGAAGGCAGCUCACAAAACUGUAACUGACGCUGAGGCUCGAAAGUGUGGGGAUCAAACAGG
rnacentral:rRNA from 1 species